AACAACAUAUGAAAGAAACACUGCCAGAAAUAUUUUCUUAUGAUAACCUUGAAUAUUAUUAAAGUAUCUAAAUAUAGAAGAUGAAACUGAGUUGGAAAUUUCUACCAAAUCCAUACAGGAAGGACUUCACAAGACUAUGGCUGUAGGAUGAAUAGACAUAUAAUGAAAUUUGAAUGUUGACUGGAGUGAAACUAAAAUGUUGAAGAAAGAAUAAGUUAUUCUUUCCAACUCAGUAAAACAGCUAGACUGGGGCCCGCCCUCUGUGCUCAGUGGUGUUCUUGGCUGACAGAGAAUGUAAAGUUACUGGAAGGAACAAAUGAAAACAAACAAACAAGUGAAGAAGAAAAAAGAAAAGGAACAUGUGAUUUUCCACGAAUGUCACUCAGUUGGUUUGGGUUGUUUUGUUUUUGUUUCUGCCCACAUGAUGGAGCGGCAUCUGCCUGGGGUGAUCAGAAGGGGUUGGACUGUAAGACUUCAGAUGAUAGGUAGGAUUUUAAUAGCUUAAAAGGGUAUUAGGAAAAUGAUAUGUUGUAGAGAAAGAGUUUAAACCGGCCAGAGGUACGGCAUAGGCAUGAAAGCAUGAGCCACAGUCAAGGUAGGGCAAAUGAUCGGAUUGCAUGCGGGCAGGAGAGAGAGCAGUACAAGGCAAUGAAAAUGUA